AAAUAUGCUAUACCCAUCCCUUCAUACGCUCCUUGCUUUUCAUUCUCACCAUAUUUUAAAGAAGAAGAAGAGCUUCGUAGUUUGUGAGUGUUUUCAAGCGUCGUUAAUUUUUCCUUAACUUUACCACUACCACCAACCAACGCUAUGUAAAAGGCAGGCAAGUUAUUAAUGGUAGCGAAAGAACGAACGUAUGUAUGUAUAGCGCAUCGAAUGACGUCUUUCAAUAUUUGAUUUAAACUAUGCUCAUCUUUCGGUUAGGACUCGUAAUAAAAUCAAGAUUCUCUCAAUGAAGAGGAUGAAUACGAAAUAAAUUUGAAAUCCCUUCAACAACAAAUUUGCUCAUAUGUAUGGGGUGUGUAUGCACGUAUGAUAAGACGAAAUCCCACAAUUGCUUCAAUUACAAUAAGACCUUGAUUUGAUUGGAUGCGAAUUCAUAUGAAUACGGAUUGGGAAAUACAAUGGGAUUCGAAAGAAAUAAACCUUCCAGAAAAGUCGUCCACAUUUCUCAUUAUUUUUUUUUAAAUGAAAGUAAUAACAAUAAUUUUCAUAAUUUAUUUAUCAUCAAGUCAGCUCUAUUAAAAUUAAUUCAAUUCAGAA